rnacentral:rRNA from 1 species
CGAGAUUCCCCCAGUAGCGGCAAGCGAACGGGGAGCAGCCCAGAGCCUGAAUCAGUGUGUGUGUUAGUGGAAGCGUCUGGAAAGGCGUGCGAUACAGGGUGACAGCCCCGUACACAAAAAUGCACAUACUGUGAGCUCGAUGAGUAGGGCGGGACACGUGGUAUCCUGUCUGAAUAUGGGGGGACCAUCCUCCAAGGCUAAAUACUCCUGACUGA